GGGGCAUUAGCUCAGCUGGCUAGAGCGCUACAAUGGCAUUGUAGAGGUCAUCGGUUCGACUCCGAUAUGCUCCACCA
rnacentral:tRNA from 1 species